rnacentral:rRNA from 1 species
UACGUAGGGGGCGAGCGUUGUCCGGAAUUACUGGGCGUAAAGAGCGUGUAGGCGGGUAUUUAAGUCAGGUGUGAAAGACCGGGGCUCAACUCCGGGGUUGCACUUGAAACUGGGUAUCUUGAGGGCAGGAGAGGAAAGCGGAAUUCCUGGUGUAGCGGUGAAAUGCGUAGAUAUCAGGAGGAACACCGGUGGCGAAGGCGGCUUUCUGGACUGACCCUGACGCUGAGACGCGAAAGCGUGGGGAGCAAACAGG